GGGCCAGACUCCUACGGGAGGCAGCAGUGGGGAAUAUUGCACAAUGGGGGAAACCCUGAUGCAGCGACGCCGCGUGAGUGAAGAAGUAUUUCGGUAUGUAAAGCUCUAUCAGCAGGGAAGAAGAAGGACGGUACCUGACUAAGAAGCCCCGGCUAACUACGUGCCAGCAGCCGCGGUAAUACGUAGGGGGCGAGCGUUAUCCGGAUUUACUGGGUGUAAAGGGAGCGUAGACGGUUAAUCAAGUCUGAAGUGAAAGCCCGGGGCUCAACCGCGGGACUGCUUUUGAAACUGUUAAGCUUGAGUGCAGGAGAGGUAAGCGGAAUUCCUAGUGUAGCGGUGAAAUGCGUAGAUAUUAGGAGGAACACCAGUGGCGAAGGCGGCUUACUGGACUGUAACUGACACUGAGGCUCGAAAGCGUGGGGAGCAAACAGGAUUAGAUCCCCCAGUA
rnacentral:rRNA from 1 species